rnacentral:lncRNA from 1 species
AGCUUUGACUUUUGUAGCAGAUCCCUUCGUAGAUUUAGGCUGAAGCUAAGUUCCUCCCCCCCGCCCCCUUUGUGCCAGCGCUGAGGAAAGCACAAAGAGGUACCGCAAGUGGGGUAGUGGUAAUGGAACCCCAUUCUUAAGAGGUCCAAUUUUCAGGCUGCCUUGAGACUGGCAGUUGCUCUCUCAUCAGUGGCUGUGAGCUCUGAGAACCAUCCAGAGACUGGGGGAUGCUCUGUUUCUGGUGUGCACACAUCCAGCUUAACUGGGCCCCAUCUGUGCUGUGCUUGUAGACAGCUUACAACUUGGCUGUAGACUUUGAGCCAGGCAGAGCUGGGGAGGGUGCUCCUGGCAGCAGUGGCGACCAUUACAACAGAGUGUAAGUCAGCACGGCCGGUGGAAGGCGCGAGGUCACUGCUGACCAGUCUGAACUUCAAAACUCUCUCGCUAUUGUUGGCCAGUGUAUCUCUUAGCAGCAAAUCUAUUCAACGGGCAACGGUCCAUUUCUACUGCUUGGUGUUGAGCUUGCAGGUCUCGUCCAGCACCUGUGAGGCAAACUCAGGACUGGUUUCUUUCCUGUGCAUCCCUUUCAAUGGUAAGAGGGCUUUGGCAGCCACACACUUCCUGAGACCCGUUUCUGUGUUUGGUAUGAAGGUGUGAGAGGCACAUUUUGCUCAUCAGGUGAACUCCCUUCCAGAGGGGAACUCUGCUUUCAGAGGGAAUGGAAAGAGAGGCUCUGUAGUCCCGAAUGUCUCAUCCCUUUCAAUGGCUACAUAAAUAAACUGCCUAAGGAAAUCAGAAGAGACUUAAGCCAAACCCAGGCCCCGUAGGUACAGUGCUACAGACCUCCAGAAGAAGGCCAGCUAUUUUGCUUUUGCUAGUUGUUUUGCUAUUAUUUGAAUGGUGGUGGCUGGAGAUGUGGCCAGGCAGGAGGUGGGCAUGGAGUUGUCUUCUUGUAGCCAGGUACUGCUCCAUAUGACCAGCACUGGCAUCUAACACCCCCAGUUCCACUGUCUAGAGAUGGGAUGACAUGCCAUGCUCUGCAUCUAGGGCCCUCAGACUCUCGGCUGUCAGUAUCUAGAAUUAUGUCUGGCUGUUUGGCAUGUGCAAAUGUGGACCAAACAAGAGUUGUGGUAAAGGUGCUGUAGAAGUCCUGCUGAGUUAGAAGCUAAUGUGAACUGAGCCCUCUAAAGCACACAAUCUCAACUCCCUUGGGGGGGGGCACAUAUGGCCCCAUGCCUGAAAAAUACUUGCUCUCAGCAAUUGCAUAUAACCUGUCUCUACUUAGACAGUCAGAACUUCCAGACCCUCCUGAUAGCCUCAGACAACCCACGAGGGCGGCAGAAAGCCCUUGCCUGGCUUCUCAGUGGAUCAAGUCUGCAAGGCAGUGAUAGGGGUGGGUGAGUGGCUUUCCCUGAGACAGGAGUGAGGUCUGUGAUUCCUCCCAGGGGUGGGGGCUGCGGUGGUGGUGCAGCAGCCAUCUGCUUUGAGGAUUGUGGACGCCUUGAGGAAUGAGCCUCACUUUUGGAGCCAGCCUGUCCAUACAGAGUCCACUAAUCUGCACCUCUGUUUAGAAACGAUGAUCCAGUUCAGUGAGAAGGCUGAGCAUGCAACGCUGGGAUUCCUGGCUGGGCAGCAGGCUAGCGUUCCAAGCUGGGGACGGAGACUCCAGAGAGCAGUUUCUCCGGCAUGCUCCACCUCUGAUCAAUCACAGACUAAAUAGAGCACCCUUGGGGUAAUUUGAUUUUUGCAUUUCACAUUCUAUGGUAGAACAAAGAGCUUUUACGUUUUGUGUUCUUUGAUAAAGAGUCACAAUUAGGUCUUUUAGCUGGAAGUUUUUUUGUUUGUUUGUUUUUCUCCGAACUAUAAAUG